GACCCAUGGUGAGGGUACCUUCUUAAUAAAGCCUUGUAUCUCUCCCAUGCAUCAUAUAACAUCUCUAAAUAGAUCUACAUGAAGGAAGAGAUAUCAUUCCUCAACUU
rfam:Gossypium hirsutum cultivar TM-1 chromosome 6, whole genome shotgun sequence